CUAUGAGUUGGAGAGGUUGAUCCAGAACUACUUACAUAUUGUGUGCACCGUUGGAGUUUCAAUUUCCCCAUAAGUCAAAUAAGGAUUUUAAUACCCAUUGCAUGAGGUUAAUAAGAAGACUCAAUGAGAUGAUGUAUGCUGUAUAAGUUGCCAGGCCCACCCAAAGUAGAUGCUCCAGAAAAAUGCUAUUUCCCUCACCCAGUAUUAUUAUUUCAAUCAAUAUACAUAAAAUGUUACAAUUUCCAAGUUUACAGCUGGUUAUACAUUAGUUAUACUUUAGGUUGGCUGCUUCACGAUGGCAUUUUAGCAUCUUAAUCUCAUCAGUAAAAUGUCCUCAAAUCACAUGGAUUACUUCUGGGAAGAAUUUCUGUGGCCAGUUAGUCCCACCCACAAUGUGUGGUUUCCAGUAAGCUUCAAUCAAAGAGAGCGUCCCCUCCCUGACCUGAGCAUGCUGUCAUUUCCCAGUCCUUUUGCCACAAUCAUCUCAGAGUCCGUCUUUUGGCAUGCUAUCCCUCUGUCUUUUAUACAGAAGUUAAGCCAUGGCCUUCUUGUUCCAGGUCCAGGAAGUGUGUGCUGCACCAUUGCAGGACAUCUUCUCCUGUUACUAGAACUUCACAUUUAGGCUGGGAGCAGUGGCUCACACCUGUAAUCGCAACACUUUGGGAUACCGAGGUGGGAGGAUCACGAGAUCAAGAGAUUGAGACCAUCCUGGCCAACAUGGUGAAACCCCGUCUCAACUAAAAAUACAAAAAUCAGCUGGAUGUGGUGGUGCGUGCCUGUAGUCCCAGACUUGAGAAUAUAAGCCACGUGCUAAGAUGAUGGAACAGAAAAUCAGAAGCAGCCUGAGUUUCUGAUGACCUUGUGAAUAUGCCAUAUCAGCUGUGGAUGGCCUCCUUCUGACUCCUAAUAUGGAAGAGAAUGAACUAUUUUGUGUCAAAGCUGCUGUAAUUGCAUCUUUGUUAUCAGCAGUUGAGCAAAAUUGCUUAGGGAACAGAUGAUAUUUAAAGUCAUGGAACUGGAUGAGAUCACUUGGGAAGUGAAUGGAGGUAGAGGAGAGUAGAGGACCAUGCCAGAGCCUAUGGAAUUCUAGCAUGCUAAUGUUCAGGAAGAGGAAGAGGAUACAGAAAGAGAUCAGCCAUGAAGGAUCAACUAAGUAACAGGACAACCAGCCUCUGUGGUGUCUUGGAAGCAAGUGAAGAAAAUGUUUGCCAAAUGCUGCCCAUAAGCCAAAUUGGAGGAGAACUGAGAAGCGGCCAUUGGAUUUAGCAACAUGGAGGUCACUGGUUACCCUGAUGAGAGCAAGUUCAGGGACAGGUGGGGAAAAGCCUGAUUUGAAUGGGUAUAAGAGACUGGAAGAAGAAGACAGAAAGUAUAAGCAACUUUUUCAAGUAAUUUUUGCUGCAGAGGAAGGCAGAGACACAGGGCAGUAGCUGGAGAAGUAGGCUCAAAAGAAGUUGUAUUGGCUGGGCAUGGUGGCUCACACCUGUAAUCCAGCAGUUUGAGAGGCCGAGGUGGACAGAUCACUUGAGGUCAAGAGUUCGAGACCAGGUCAACAUGGCAAAACCUUGUCUUUGCUAAAAAUACAAAAAUUAGCUGGGCAUGAUGGCAUGCACCUGUAGUCCCAGCUACUUAGGAGGCUAAGGCAGGAGAAUUGCCUGAACCCAGGAGGCAAAGAUUGCAGUGAGCCAAGGUCACACCACUACACUCUAGUCUGGGCAACAGAGUGACACUCUGUCUCAAAAAAAAAAAAAAAAAAAGUCAUAUUUGUUUAAGAUUAGAAAAACAAUAGUAUAUUUGAUGCUUGUAGGAAUGAUCUAAUUUAAUAAUGCACAAAUGAGAAGGUAGAAUUGUUGGUGUGAUAUCUUUGUUUAAGUCAAGUUGCUCCCGGAGUUUCACUCAAAUAAUCACUUUAUUAUGUUUCCAUAACUAACUACCACAUAGCUAACUUUUCCUGGUUCUUUUUCAUUUGUGUAAUUUUUUUAAAAAUCAAUGCAAUGAAUUAAAAUGGCAUAAAUAUAGAAAAGAAUUUUAAAGAGAAUGCUUGAUUCUAAAAAACAAAUAUAUUCUAAUUUAAUCUUAUUUAUAUUACAUCAUUUAGAUUCUAAGUGCUUCAGAUACUUAGAUUCUGAGUGCUUCAAAUAUCUCCAAUUUAUUAGGAGAAAGUAUAGAUUGAAGAAAAAAAGAACAAAAAAGUACAGUAAUUUUGUCUUUUAUACAUUUGUAUCUAAGGAUAAGAACUUUAAUCUACAAUGUAUGAGGCAUGAUGUGGGGGUUAUCUUUCCUGUCCAUCCAGGAAUUUAUAACAAAAACAAAUACGUACGAUUUUAAAAUAACAUUACUUGCUUCAAAAAGUGUUUAAAGUGUUAGUCAAUAUUAAAUCAGGACAGACAUGAAUACAAUGUGAAUGUUGAGCCUUAGUGUUUAUAAUGUUCUAUAGAAACUGGAACUGUAUAAAGACCAGAGGGUGGAUUCUUUAACAUGAUACCUAUAGGCUCUCCGGGAAGGAACUAUGGUGACCCCUGCUGGGAGGAUGAAGCUCUCCAUAUAGGGCCAGGCUUAGAGUAAAUGAGAAGGUCACAAAUUAGAAAACUUAAGAACAUGAGGAUUUAACAUGAGGAAGGAAAAAGAAUACCAGAUAAAGUGAUCACGCAUGGACAGGCUGAAGUAGCUGGUCUUCAGUAAAAAUCAGAGCAAGGGCAGGAUGAAGAGUCAUAGCAUGAAAAGAAAGAACUGUAACAGAUGAUACACAGGAUGUGUAAAUUAAAAUGGAGGUUUGGGCUCCAGACCCCUUUUAAAGGGGAUCUUUGAAUGCUGUAAGUGUUCCCAAACCCUACAUAGGUCAAAACUCCCUGCUAGAAGAAGGCAAUAUUCUCUCAGAUGUGCAAGUGGUCAAUCUUGAUACACAAAAACUCUUGAGAGAUUCAUCAUAAUUUCAGAGAAACACUGGGAUUUUAAAAAAAGUCUGGAGAGAGAGGAGGAGAUGGCAAAGGGAAAGAUGAGUUUUUUCCAGGGGCCGUCAGUGUCCCUUUGCACCACAGUUUAGAAAUUGCUGCUCCAAGUUAUUUUAAUUAUUUCCUGUCUCACUUCAGACAAUUAUAUUUAAUAGAUGAAGGUGAAAGUGAAGAGAUAGAUUAGUAUCAGAAGAUUAAAGCCUUAUUGAUAGAUGAGGUUGUUAGCCCUUGGUUUAUAAGCCAGAGAACUAAUGGAUGACUUCUAGAGGAUCCACAAACCUGGGGAAAAAUAUACUUUUUUUGCACGUCUUCCCCAAUAUUUAAAACUAUAGUUGGGGGAGAAAAACUUUUUGUAUAACAUAUUUUUAUGAAAGCAUUGUUUCAUAAUAAAUAAGUAAAAAGCAGUAUGCAAAAUUACAGUUUGGUACAUUAUUGGUGUCAUUGGCCUGUUAUGAUAUUUACCAGGCCAUUCUUUGACAUGAAUUGAAAAUGAAACAUAUUAUGAUUAUGAACGUCUGUUUAUACCUUAAUAUCAGUUUAGGCUAGGAUAUAUCACCAAAAAAAAAGAAUCCCUCUCUUUUUUUUUUGAGACCGAGUCUCGCUCUGUCGCCCAGGCUGGAGUGCAGUGGCGCAAUCUCAGCUCACUGCACCCGCCUCCAGGUUCAAGCGAUUCUCCUGCCUCAGGCUCCCCAGUAGCUGGGACUACAGGUGCCCACCACCACGCCUGGAUAAUUUUUUUUAUUUUUAGUAGAGAUGGGGUUUCACCGUGUUAGUUAGGAUGGUCUCAAUCUCCUGACCUCAUGAUCACCCGCCUUGGCCUCUCAAAGUGCUGGGAUUACAGGCAUGAGCUACCGUGCCCAGCAAAAAUCUCGCUUUUUUUUUCUUUUUUUUUUCUUUUUUUUUCUUGAGACGGAGCCUCACUCUGUCGCCCAGGUUGGAGUGCAGUGGCACAAUCUCGGCUCACUGCAAGCUCCGCCUUCCGGGUUCACGCCAUUCUCCUGCCUCAGCCUCCCAAGUAGCUGGGACUACAGGCGCCUGCCACCAUGCCCGGCUAAUUUUUUGUAUUUUUAGUAGAGACGGGGUUUCACCGUGUUAGCCAGGAUGGUCUCGAUCUCCUUACCUCGUGAUCUGUCUGCCUCGGCCUCCCAAAGUGCUGGGAUUACAGGCGUGAGUCACCGCGCCUGGCCAAGAAUCUCUCUUUAUCUCUGUCUGCCCCCUUGGAUUUUGCUUGCAUUGUGGAACAUAUUACCUAUGGAAGCAGGAACCGAACAAAGCCGAAGUGAUCCCUUACAUCCUGAAAAUACACUCUUUUGCCUUAGUAAAAGGGUCAAUUGGAAAGCAUUAAAAACUUGGAUUUUCUCCAACACAAAGAUGUAUUGUCUUGAGUCAUCCUGCAAGAUCGCUUGCUGCACGACUAAAUAAAAGACCUUGCUGAAGCAAAAUGUCCUGGAAAUGGUUAUGCUGAUUUGUAAUUUGAAGGAAAAUUUAAAAAGUAAAACAAUGCUUCUGUCAAAUCUUCUCAUCCAUUCCAGAAUCACUAAAAUCUAUUCCAAUAUUUUGAAGCAGAUCAUGAAGGAAUCGCUAUUUCUCUUCAUCGUGAAAGUAUUGACAUCUGUUGGCAGAGCCAGGUCCAGUUCCCAUGUUAUCUGCACAAGCACAGCAUCAAAUGAGGAUUUCUAUUUUGGGAGCACUUUUAGAAAGUUCAAAGGCCUCCUAUGGUGUUGAAAUUGUAAAAACUUUAUUGGCCAAACAAAAUUUCCACUCAAAGAAACAUUGAUACUAUGCAUGCUUGGAGAACUAGCAAUGAGAUUCAUUCCAUUCUAGAUUGUCUUGCAUUAGUGUCAAAGGUAAAUCCCAAAUAAAAUUUUGCUUGCAACCACAAAGUCAUCAACCUGUUUAGCUUCAGAGCCUUGCAUUUCUGUCUUUUCAAGAAGUUUUCUUAGAAAAGCAGAUUAUGAAGUUUUCUUUUGCUAUAUGGAAAUUCAUCAGCUGUCUGGAAGUUAAGCCUAAUAGAACUUAAUUGAACUUGGGGUAAGUAACUCUUUGAUAACUUCUACUUAGUCUUAAGAUUGCAGAUUAAACAAUGUUUUCUUAUUG